CGGAUAGAAAACCAAGAGCGCUUAUGUAUCAUCUCCUGUCGAAAAGCGAAAAAACUAAAGAUGGCACACAAGCAGGGGGAAACGGAAAAAAAAAGCGGGGCAGCCAUCUCCUCACCCACAGCUUCAACCUUCAGUACACAUAGCCCUAUCUCUCAGCAGCCUAAAACACAUGCACGAGACCCAAAUUCCAGCGAAUUUCCCCCAGAUCCCACCUCUCAACCUCUCAUCUCUUCGUUCAAUUGUUAGAAAUUAAGAAUGGAGUUAGUUGAGGUUUGAAGCCCGUUCGUUCGCCGAUCGAGGUUCGCGGCAAUGUUCUUAUUGCUGUUUUUAGUUCUAUUCGCGGCUUAUAGCUCCCUUUCGAUUGUUGUUGUUCGUCUCGAUUUUUUUAUCGCCGAAAUUCGCUUGUAUUUGCUCUCAAACAGAAUUAAUCAAAACCUUCUUGUGCUUUCAGG
rnacentral:lncRNA from 1 species